UUCAUCUCCAUCACCAGUUCAAAGGUGAGUAUCUGUGUGGCUACUGUACUUGCUCUUGUUACUGAGUGGAAGCCUGGACUUGUGAACCUCUUCAGGGACCCUCCUUCUCUCAGGAGGGCAGUGGGCAGCCCUCAGUCUCCCUGGCUUAUUGGGGACAUGCUGCCUCUCAUCCUGUGAGCUCCAGUUGGAACCCUUGAGUUGUCUGAGAGGUAAGAUGGGCUGGGCCCCAUCUAAAAAGACAAUCUGCUGCUUCCUCAACACCAAUGAAUCCCAAAUUGUCAGAGCUGGAAGGACAUUUUUUGAUUACUGGUAGAUUCCACCCUACUUCUAAGGACGCUAUAGAUGGGGAGGUGGAAACUGGGGCCGAGGGAAGUCCAGGGACUUACCAACACCAUAUCUUUAAAUCUAUUAUGAUUUUUUAAAAAGUCCCUGUUUGGGAUGGAAAGGCAUGGUCUAAAUAAGCCCUCAAAGAAAAGCCAUUUUAGGACAUUUUUGCACUUCAGGACAUUGGCUUAUGGUGGGUCAGGGGAGUGGGGAGUGUGGUGUCCAGUCUCUGCUGGGUGAUGCCUUAGAUGUUGAUAUCAGGGGGGUACAUGAGCUCAGGUGUCAUGGGGUGCAUGGGGCAGUGUCCUGGAAGGAGGAUGGGCAGCAGUGGUGUAAGGAGUUCUCCGGCUCCACAGGUCCAGGGCCUGGCUCCUUGCCUGUGCCUUUGGCUGAAGCAGAGAAUGGCCCCAGCAGCUCACCCAUAUAUCAUGGGGUGGCCAAGGCACUCCUGUGCUUAGAUGUCCUGGAUUUAUGGCGUCAACUGGACAAGGUGCUGGUGCCUGUGCCUUCUGUCUCUGCUCUCCCAGCCCCAGCAGCACCAGCUCCUCCGGCUACCUGGUGCUUCUGGUCACCCAGGCCCUGCAGGCCCCAGGCCUCCUCCUCCCCAGAGCCUUCACUCAAGCCUUCCCCCUCCCUGCAGCCCCACCUGCUGUUUCCCCACCAGGGGGACCCUCCCCCGACAUCCCGCACAGCCUCCAUCCAGGCAGGGACUCCUGUGAUGAGCUGCCUGUGAGGAAGAUGCCUGGAGACUGUGUCUGAUCCAUCUCUGAACCUGGACAAGCUUGGCUUGUGGGCGGUCGAUGAGCAUCUGAGGAAUACAUGAAAGUGACUUUCAGAGGCAAUGUGGACGUCCCCAUCUGCUCCCAUCUGUUCUUCUUAAGUAAGGAAAGACGGUUG
rnacentral:lncRNA from 1 species